AUUGAACGCUGGCGGCAUGCUUUACACAUGCAAGUCGAACGGUAACAGGCCGCAAGGUGCUGACGAGUGGCGAACGGGUGAGUAAUGCAUCGGAACGUGCCCAGUCGUGGGGGAUAACGCAGCGAAAGCUGCGCUAAUACCGCAUACGAUCUCUGGAUGAAAGCGGGGGACCGAAAGGCCUCGCGCGAUUGGAGCGGCCGAUGUCAGAUUAGGUAGUUGGUGGGGUAAAGGCCCACCAAGCCAACGAUCUGUAGCUGGUCUGAGAGGACGACCAGCCACACUGGGACUGAGACACGGCCCAGACUCCUACGGGAGGCAGCAGUGGGGAAUGUUGGACAAUGGGCGCAAGCCUGAUCCAGCAAUGCCGCGUGCAGGAAGAAGGCCUUCGGGUUGUAAACUGCUUUUGUACGGAACGAAACGGUCCUGGUUAAUACCUGGGGCUAAUGACGGUACCGUAAGAAUAAGCACCGGCUAACUACGUGCCAGCAGCCGCAGUAACAC
rnacentral:rRNA from 1 species